GACGAACGCUGGCGGCGUGCCUAAUACAUGCAAGUAGAACGCUGAAGGAGGAGCUUGCUUCUCUGGAUGAGUUGCGAACGGGUGAGUAACGCGUAGGUAACCUGCCUGGUAGCGGGGGAUAACUAUUGGAAACGAUAGCUAAUACCGCAUAAGAGUAGAUGUUGCAUGACAUUUACUUAAAAGGUGCAAUUGCAUCACUACCAGAUGGACCUGCGUUGUAUUAGCUAGUUGGUGAGGUAACGGCUCACCAAGGCAACGAUACAUAGCCGACCUGAGAGGGGGGUCGCCCCCCCUGGGACUGCGACACGCCCACCUCCACUCGGGGGGGCAGCAGUCGGGCAUUUGCGGAAAUGGGUGGAGGUCCGCCCGAGCACCGCCGCGUGGUGAAAGAGGGUUUUCGUUUCGUAAACCUCUUUUUAAGGAGAAAAACGAGGGGGGGAGUGAAAAUUUCACACUGGGACGGUCUCUAACAAAAAAGGGCCGGCUAACUCCGUC
rnacentral:rRNA from 1 species